rnacentral:misc_RNA from 1 species
UUAAGUUCAGCGGGUAUCCCUACCUGAUUCGAGGUCAAACGAAUAAAAAAAAAGUUCGCUUCUGGGAGCCAGACCCCGGAAAGAGCGCAAAUCUGCUGCACUCCAGGCCGUGGUACCAGCCGCCAAUCGCUUUGAGGCGAGUCCGCGCACGGAGGCGGGACAGACGCCCAACACCAAGCAGAGCUUGAGGGUGUAAAUGA